ACCAUUUUUAAAAAACCGUCUUUCAAAUCAAGUGCUGCCUUCCCAUUUUUGCUAUCAUUGCCUUUGGCUCAUCCUCUCUCAGUCUCUCAUGCAUCUCUCUCUUUCUCACACUGACCCAACUCCACCACAAGUUAGAGAAGCCGCAAAUCUAGCCAAAGAAGUUUGUAGAUCUACCAUUCAAAGUUGCAGAUUUGUCGUCCCCUCCCACCUCCAUGGUCAUCGUCAUUGGAGUUCAGCGCUAACUUUUGGAACAUCGCGCCAGAGUACGUCGUCGUCGAUUCAAAUUCACAGUGCAAAAAAGCUGUCACAAAAGUGUUACUCACAUUUUCUUUGGAUCCAAUUUCGUUACCGUUACCAAAUGCAAAGAGGUUGAACGGGAAUUCUUCAAGGUUGAAACCCUUGUAGCUGUUAUGUAUUGGUGGCCUUUAUGUUUUAUGUGAUGCAUAGACCUUUUACAAGUUCUUAGGAAUAUCACAAGUUUCCUCCGUGCUCGAUGGUUUUCUAGUCGAUGCAUAUCUUGGACACUAUUGGACCAUAGCCAUCUUCACUACAAUCUAUCUUGCGAUAUGAUAAUGGUUCCUCUUUCAUGAUUAGACCCAUGGAACAACACAUGUAGUAAUAAAGUUCAUUAGAAAACAGAGUACAAUAGAAUAAUACUAAUAUCAAGUUCUAUAUUACUUUUAGAAAUAUCUCUCUUUUUUCUUUCACUUUUUGAUGAAUCCAAACUUAUCUUAGGUUUUAUUGUGAGUUAUUUAAAAAAAAUGAAAUUUAUCUAAUUUUAUAUAAAAUAUCUAGCAUGGUCUUCUUCAUAGGCACUCCAUUGUACAGGCACAGGUUGUUAGGAGGUAGCUCUCUUACUCGUGUUGCUCAAGUCUUGGUUGCUACAUUUAGAAAGAGAAAGGCCUCUUUUGGUAGCAAUGAGUUCAUAGGCUUGUAUGAGGUUCCUGUUAGGCAGUCUGUUAUCAAGGGAAGUCAAAAGAUUGCUCACACGAAUGAUUUCUGGGGAGAAACAUAACAUUAAUUUCUCUCUCUCUCACACACACACACAAUUUCCUAUAGUUUAACUACUUAGAUUUUAAAUUUUAAUUUUGAAUUGCUAAAGGAUACUACAUCAAAAUAUGUACCAUAAUGGAAACAAUUGAUUCUAGUAAGUAACCAAAGUGGCACUUGGAACCAAUACCUUGGAACAUGUCCAAUGAGAGUUUUUUUUUAUGAAAUUCUUAAUCUUUAAGAAUAAGUUGUUAUGUAGUUUUACCAUUAAAGCAAUUGAGAUGAGAAUUCUUAUAUAAGAAUCAUUGCUUAGACGAGUAAUAUUCCAAAUAGAAUUCUUAAGAAUUGUAGGACUUAUUUUAAAUUCAUAAAUAUCAUUAAAAAAAAUCCUGGUCAAAAGUUAAUUUAAGUAAUUCUACCACUGUUAUACUAUUAGAGAUACUCUUAGUUAGGUGUGAGAAAUUUGUCUUUAUAUGUUCAUAUCAAUUACUUUAUAUUUGAUUAUAAAACAGUUGAAUCCAUUCCCAUUCAUUUUAUAUAUCAGGUUUCUUGACAAGGCAGCUCUACAAUUGAAAGAAGGUAGUUUUCCAAUUGACUGAUACUAAUGAACUGUCGCUUUUGGAGUGUACAGUGUCCCUUCUUACUGACUAUGAAAUUGCUAAACAUUAACUUGAUUGGGAGGUACGUGCUGAUUUACUUGUUUUAGUAUCUGGGAUAUUGCUGGGAAAAUGUAAGUGUAUAGAUGUUAUUUAACAUGUGGUCACAUUUUGUAGUGUUAAUUUGUGUCUUGCAAGUAUGUUUCUGGACCUAUUUUGAGAUGAAUAAGCCAUUCAUAUGAGAUCUUAAUGUACUUUUUGUUAUGGAUUUCCCCUCGGUAUUGGUGGGUGAUAUUGGUUUGGGUAUUACUGUUAAUAUGUAUUCGACUUCUAACAUUUAGGAAUCAAGUAAUGAGAAUAGAUAGGAAAUUGGUAUUUUUUUGAAUUUAUAAUAGAAAAAUCCCCUUACUGCCGCUAUUAGGUAGAUCAAUAACAAGGAAUUGAUAACAAGAUAGAAAAAUAAUGGAAAUACUAUACAAACAACACUUAAAGGGACUGAAACCUCCAUUCCAAAUCAAUACCUCUGCUCCCUUUUUCUUAGCUUUCCCCUUUAGAUUAAUUAACUCACCAAUAACAAACUCCCUUAUCUUUUUUAAUUAUUCUAUUAUAAUCCCUAGUUCUACUCAUUCAACUUAAACAUUAAGUUAUAAGAAGAUAAAUCCAAUUCUCUUUUAUUCUUGCUCAUCAUUGUCCUGUCGUGGCUCUUGUGAUUCUUCUUUCUAGUGCAUACAUAGGUAACUGGAGGUCUAACAUAACACUUUUGUGUUUUAAGAACUAUGUAUUUGGAUUAUAAAUAUGGUUGUAUGUAAAAUUUGUAAAGAGUUCUUUGUUAUGUUAAGAAUUUGUGUAAUUAUUUCCUAGUUAGGUUGCCUUGUUUAGUGUAACCAAAUAUUGGAUGUUGUAAUUGUGGAAAUAGUUAUGAUGCUAGAUUGCUAGAUGUAAAGGAUGUGGAUGUAUGGGUUUUAAAGGGAAGAUGGAUUUUUCUAUUCUACAUGCAGUUUUUAAGGUUGGACGGUUUUGUUUUCACUCAUGGAGGAUGUAGGUUGUUAAUUAUUUUAUGCUUUCAAUGCCAUUGGUGGCUUCAAUGUUUCUUUUGGAAGCUUUUUGCAUUUUAAGUCUUUCUCAUAAGGUGAUUAAAACUAAGCAUGAAAGAAAGGAGAAGAAGUUCUUGAUUAGGAGGACAAAAUAUACUCUAGAAUAUAAAAGUAACUCAUCAGAACAUAAUUAUAACAGCAGAAGCUACCACGAAUUGUAUUCUUUUGAUGUCUUUGGUCAGAUCCAUCCCUAUUUCCCUCCAUGACCAUAUUUUUGUGGGUUUUUUUAGCACAUGGUGAGGAUAAUUCCUUUGUUUUCCUUCUAUAGUGAAUUCUAGGGUCAACCAUCAACUAAAUAAUAGGUGGUGCACCAAUGUAUCACCAUCAUAGUGUUCUUUUAUAAAACUAUUACCUCUAAAUUAGAUUGUUGUGAUUGUUUUAAAAUGAUGUGACAUACUUGUUUGCUUUUAGCUGAGGCAUGAUAGUCACUUUUUUUUCUUCAUCACAUUGAAACUUUUAUAUUCAUGAUAUAGUUCCUCAUCUUUCUUAUUUAUUAAUUGUAAAACUUGAAAUAUUAUGAUAACAUUUAAAUUUCUUGUUUUGCAGGGAAAUGGUUACUUUGUUCGGUUUGGUAAUUGCUCAGGCAAGAUUGUGGUUAUAGCUCCCUAAGGCUAAUAUCAUUCCAUAGUUGAAUUAAAUAUACUUUGUCAAGUAUAAAAAAGUUGUGUAGGAAUCUAGAUGAUUUACUUAGAGCACCAAUUAAAUUACAUAAACUCUGGUGUAAUGAAACUUUGAUGCGAAGAUACCCAAUGAAGAUAUUUAACCAUUGGAGAGAAUAUUGUAUUUGGAUUGGUGUAAUGAAACAUAUAUGUAUUUGAUUCUAAUAUAUUUUUUGUCACUCUAAUCUUAAUAAUUA